UGUACAACAAAAUGUUCAUAGGAAGAUCAUUGCAAGUAUAUAUAUAUAUGUAGCUACAGGAGUACGGCGUGUACCUUCAUCUGUCUUUGAACGAACGAAAUUCAACUUUAUCACAGUAAAGACAUGAAAGACAUGUGAAGUCACGAUUACCAAACCGAGCUGAAUAAAGAAUGUCAGACUUAUUACGUCGAAUGAAGUUGCAAAGAGAGGCCAUCCCAGGAACAAUGGGAGUCGCGAAAUUCAACUUUAUCACAGUAAAGACAUGAAAGACAUGUGAAGUCACGAUUACCAAGCCGAGCUGAAUAAAGAAUGUCAGACUUAUUA